rnacentral:rRNA from 1 species
GAUGAACGCUGGCGGCGCGCCUAACACAUGCAAGUCGAACGGCACCCCUCUCCGGAGGGAAGCGAGUGGCGAACGGCUGAGUAACACGUGGAGAACCUGCCCCCUCCCCCGGGAUAGCCGCCCGAAAGGACGGGUAAUACCGGAUACCCCCGGGCGCCGCAUGGCGCCCGGGCUAAAGCCCCGACGGGAGGGGAUGGCUCCGCGGCCCAUCAGGUAGACGGCGGGGUGACGGCCCACCGUGCCGACAACGGGUAGCCGGGUUGAGAGACCGACCGGCCAGAUUGGGACUGAGACACGGCCCAGACUCCUACGGGAGGCAGCAGUGGGGAAUCUUGCGCAAUGGGGGGAACCCUGACGCAGCGACGCCGCGUGCGGGACGGAGGCCUUCGGGUCGUAAACCGCUUUCAGCAGGGAAGAGUCAAGACUGUACCUGCAGAAGAAGCCCC